GGAAUAUUGGACAAUGGGGGCAACCCUGAUCCAGCCAUGCCGCGUGUGUGAAGAAGGCCUUCGGGUUGUAAAGCACUUUCAGUAGGGAGGAAAGGUAGCGUGUUAAUAGCACGUUACUGUGACGUUACCUACAGAAGAAGGACCGGCUAACUCCGUGCCAGCAGCCGCGGUAAUACGGAGGGUCCGAGCGUUAAUCGGAAUUACUGGGCGUAAAGCGUGCGCAGGCGGUUUGUUAAGCAAGAUGUGAAAGCCCCGGGCUCAACCUGGGAAUUGCAUUUUGAACUGGCAAACUAGAGUCUUGUAGAGGGGGGUAGAAUUCCAGGUGUAGCGGUGAAAUGCGUAGAGAUCUGGAGGAAUACCGGUGGCGAAGGCGGCCCCCUGGACAAAGACUGACGCUCAGGCACGAAAGCGUGGGGAGCAAACAGGAUUAGAUACCCCAG
rnacentral:rRNA from 1 species